rnacentral:rRNA from 1 species
UUUCCGGUUGAUCCCGCCGGAGGCCACUGCUAUUGGGGUUCGACUAAGCCAUGCGAGUCUAUGGACUUCGGUCCAUGGCGGACGGCUCAGUAACACGUGGCUAACCUACCCUCAGGUGGGGGAUAACCUCGGGAAACUGAGGGUAAUACCCCAUAGGGGAAGAGGUCUGGAAUGAUCCUUCCUUGAAAGGACAUCCGCCUGAGGAUGGGGCUGCGUCCGAUUAGGUAGUUGGUGGGGUAAUGGCCCACCAAGCCUACGACCGGUACGGGCCUUGAGAGAGGAAGCCCGGAGAUGGGGACUGAGACACGGCCCCAGGCCCUACGGGGCGCAGCAGGCGCGAAACCUCCACAAUGCACGAAAGUGCGAUGGGGGUACCCCAAGUGCCUAUGCACAGCAUAGGCUUUUCCCAAGUGUAAACAGCUUGGGGAAUAAGGGCUGGGCAAGUCCGGUGCCAGCAGCCGCGGUAACACCGGCGGCCCGAGUGGUGGCCACUCUUAUUGGGCCUAAAGCGUCCGUAGCCGGUCCAGUAAGUCCCUGUUUAAAUCCUACGGCUCAACCGUAGGGCUGGCAGGGAUACUGCUGGACUUGGGACCGGGAGAGGACGAGGGUACUCCAGGGGUAGCGGUGAAAUGUGUUGAUCCCUGGAGGACCACCUAUGGCGAAGGCAC